rnacentral:lncRNA from 1 species
AAAUUACAUCGUGCACAGUGGUUGAAAUCCCAGUUUCAGUAGGGGAAGGAUUUUGAUAACAAUGAAGUGCUACUAAUCUGAGAACAAGCCAACAGCCAAAGAACCCAGACACAAGAAUAUAUCUCACAGUUCAUUUCUCUCAUGAGGCAGGUGUUCCUGCAUGUAAAAGUUUUUUAAUGCAAGCUGCUGGCUGGCAUACAUGUGGAACAAGAAUCCCCAGAGCAUAUUAGAGGACAAACCUGCUUCCCUAGUGAAUCUGGGAACAGCCUCUUCUAGUACAGAGCCACUAUUUAUUCCGCCCUUGUGCUUCCCUUGAGUAUAAGUUAUGAUAUAUCAGCAUUGUCUUUGAGGUCUACUGAAUCUGUGGAUAUGCAGUACUCCGAAGAGUGGAGACGGAAUGAAGUUGAAAGGAUUCAUGAAUAAAAAGAAAAAUGGGUCAAUUUUUGAUCAGCUCUGCCAAGCUGGGCUGACUGGAAGAAACUGUGGAUGUCACCCUGACUUCUUCAACACAGCAUUUACAGCUCUGUUUGAGAGGAAUGUGAGUGAAAUGCUCCUCUGUGUUAUUCUCUUCCCACAUCUUUGGUACCAUAAAAAAAUUUGUUCCUCGGUAGCACACCAUUACUUAUGCAUUUCGAAAAUCCACCAGAAAGACUUGAGGUGAAACGUGGAAGAUCCUUGUCACAGUGUCUCUCCACUGAAUCCCUGUGUGAGACGAGGCACUGAUGCAUGCAAAAGAGCUGUUGGUGGAGUUGGUAGUGCCACUCCAGAAUGGCUUCCCUACCUCUGCCACAGUCAUAGUCCUUUCAGAAAGGAUUUCAGCACAGACUAUCUACCGAAGUAGAUAUCCAGAGUUGCUGAAAGUCCUGAACCCUGUAUAUCUUCAGUAAUAACUUGGCUAUUUAUCUGGAGCUCUCUGGUUUCUCGGUGUCUUCUGCAGCUGCUGCUUCUGAGCAUAACCUGUAACAGUGAAGCUGAGCUAAAGAGCUCAUGCCAUGCUCUUGAAUAGGUGGGUGGGGAGGUGUUGAAGUAGUAAUGUUUGUCCUAGGGAUGUGUUGUUGAUUUCAAGAAAAUUGUGUCUCAGGAAUCACAAGCCCACAGGAAAUAACAAAGGGUCCACAGGGUCACUGAACAUGGGCCUCUGAAAUAUCAGAAAAACCUAUCUUAUAAUUCUUCUGUUAGAAGAAUCAGCUCCAUCUUAAGUGGGAGUGUUCUUCCACUCCUUUCUGCCCCUUUUGUGCAGAAAAAAGGUACAGGUGCCUCUAAAGGGUUGUCAUAAAGUGCAGGUGCAGACGCUCAGCAGAUUUCCCAUUUCCAGCUUGUGAUCCAUGAAUCUCACCACUGUUGAGUACCUAGAGGAGCAUUUCAGGACUGGGUUCACUCUAGGUGGAGCACAUAAUUGAAACUGCCUUGAAUCUAACACUGAAAGUCCUCAGAUGAAGAGCAGGUCAGAUACCCCCCCCCCCCACUUACUAUUUCUUACUGUCCAUUUUAAGCAGCUUCUCACUCAGCAGUAGGUUUUUGAGUCUCUUUGGGGAUGGCAAAGUCUCUUUGCUGACUGUAUAAGGAUGCUAAUUUGGGGUCAUCAUUCUGGGGCUAAGUAUCUGUAGGUGCUGUAAAGUUUAACACACAUGCCUAGUGCAGGUACUCUGCUUCCUGCUAUUCUGUGUUCAAAUGUUCUUCCUAAAUGUUAUGGAAACCAAGGAUGGAGUCUAUAUUUUUCUGUCUUCAUUGUAAAGAUUAAUGUCUCAGCCAAACAAGAAUUUGUGCACAGCAAUAAGCUGCUACUUAAUGCUUUUCUCCUAUUGCAAAAUAUGUCUGACAACUGAGAAGAACUUGCUGGGAAUUUUCCAACAUGAUGUUUAUCUGUAUGAAACAUGCUCCUUAGAAGUGAAAACUAAUAAAUAUAGUUUACUGACAAAUAUAUUUUUUUUC